rnacentral:rRNA from 1 species
GACAGAGGCCUCGAGCGUUAGGCGGAAUCACUGGGCUUAAAGCGUGUGUAGGCGGAUCGUUAAGUACCUUGUGAAAUCCCACGGCUCAACCGUGGGAACGGCUGGGUAUACUGGCGGUCUUGGGCCAUUCAGGGGCGACUGGAACAAGCGGUGGAGCGGUGAAAUGCGUAGAUAAUCGAAGAGGAACACCUGCGGCGAAGGCGGGUUGCUGGGCCGACACUGACGCUGAUGCGCGAAAGCUAGGGUAGCAAACGGG